rnacentral:sRNA from 1 species
GCUAGGGGUGGUGACGCACAUUUGUAAUCCCAGCAACUUGGGAGACUGAGGCAGGAGAAUCACAAGUUUGAAGCCAGAAUGGGCAACUUAGUGAGACCCUGUCUCAA